UACGUAGGGGGCAAGCGUUGUCCGGAUUUAUUGGGCGUAAAGAGCGUGUAGGCGGCCAGGUAGGUCUGCUGUGAAAACUCGAGGCUCAACCUCGAGACGUCGGCGGAAACCAUCUGGCUAGAGUCCGGAAGAGGAGAGUGGAAUUCCUGGUGUAGCGGUGAAAUGCGCAGAUAUCAGGAAGAACACCAACGGCGAAGGCAGCUCGCUGGGACGGUACUGACGCUGAGACGCGAAAGCGUGGGGAGCGAACAGG
rnacentral:rRNA from 1 species